rnacentral:rRNA from 1 species
AGAGUUUGAUCAUGGCUCAGAUUGAACGCUGGCGGCAGGCCUAACACAUGCAAGUCGAACGGUAACAGGAAGCAGCUUGCUGCUUCGCUGACGAGUGGCGGACGGGUGAGUAAUGUCUGGGAAACUGCCUGAUGGAGGGGGAUAACUACUGGAAACGGUAGCUAAUACCGCAUAAUGUCGCAAGACCAAAGAGGGGGACCUCGGGCCUCUUGCCAUCGGAUGUGCCCAGAUGGGAUUAGCUUGUUGGUGGGGUAACGGCUCACCAAGGCGACGAUCCCUAGCUGGUCUGAGAGGAUGACCAGCCACACUGGAACUGAGACACGGUCCAGACUCCUACGGGAGGCAGCAGUGGGGAAUAUUGCACAAUGGGCGCAAGCCUGAUGCAGCCAUGCCGCGUGUAUGAAGAAGGCCUUCGGGUUGUAAAGUACUUUCAGCGGGGAGGAAGGGAGUAAAGUUAAUACCUUUGCUCAUUGACGUUACCCGCAGAAGAAGCACCGGCUAACUCCGUGCCAGCAGCCGCGGUAAUACGGAGGGUGCAAGCGUUAAUCGGAAUUACUGGGCGUAAAGCGCACGCAGGCGGUUUGUUAAGUCAGAUGUGAAAUCCCCGGGCUCAACCUGGGAACUGCAUCUGAUACUGGCAAGCUUGAGUCUCGUAGAGGGGGGUAGAAUUCCAGGUGUAGCGGUGAAAUGCGUAGAGAUCUGGAGGAAUACCGGUGGCGAAGGCGGCCCCCUGGACGAAGACUGACGCUCAGGUGCGAAAGCGUGGGGAGCAAACAGGAUUAGAUACCCUGGUAGUCCACGCCGUAAACGAUGUCGACUUGGAGGUUGUGCCCUUGAGGCGUGGCUUCCGGAGCUAACGCGUUAAGUCGACCGCCUGGGGAGUACGGCCGCAAGGUUAAAACUCAAAUGAAUUGACGGGGGCCCGCACAAGCGGUGGAGCAUGUGGUUUAAUUCGAUGCAACGCGAAGAACCUUACCUGGUCUUGACAUCCACGGAAGUUUUCAGAGAUGAGAAUGUGCCUUCGGGAACCGUGAGACAGGUGCUGCAUGGCUGUCGUCAGCUCGUGUUGUGAAAUGUUGGGUUAAGUCCCGCAACGAGCGCAACCCUUAUCCUUUGUUGCCAGCGGUCCGGCCGGGAACUCAAAGGAGACUGCCAGUGAUAAACUGGAGGAAGGUGGGGAUGACGUCAAGUCAUCAUGGCCCUUACGACCAGGGCUACACACGUGCUACAAUGGCGCAUACAAAGAGAAGCGACCUCGCGAGAGCAAGCGGACCUCAUAAAGUGCGUCGUAGUCCGGAUUGGAGUCUGCAACUCGACUCCAUGAAGUCGGAAUCGCUAGUAAUCGUGGAUCAGAAUGCCACGGUGAAUACGUUCCCGGGCCUUGUACACACCGCCCGUCACACCAUGGGAGUGGGUUGCAAAAGAAGUAGGUAGCUUAACCUUCGGGAGGGCGCUUACCACUUUGUGAUUCAUGACUGGGGUGAAGUCGUAACAAGGUAACCGUAGGGGAACCUGCGGUUG